UGCCCACCUUGGCCUCUCAAAGUGCAGGGAUUACAGCAAGGACGAUAGGCCUGAGUGUGAAGUUAAGAGAAUGGAAGAGAAGAUAGACAAUGGAAUGCCAAUCUCAAAACAAAUCAUUGAAAAUUGAGAUGAAAAUGCCAAAUGUCUGCAUUCAUAUAAUGGAAAUAAUCGAGCUGUGGACAAUCAUCUAUGCUUUUGAUCAUUCUGGGAUUAGAGGAAUUCCUUACACUUAUGGAAUUCAACUGUGUCAAAA
rnacentral:lncRNA from 1 species